CUUGGGGAUUCAUAGUAACCGAACGGAUCGCAUUAUAGUCAUUUUGUAUGGGUGGCGAUAGAUCAUUCAAGUUUCUGACCUAUCAGCUUUCGACGGGAGUGUAUUGGACUACCGUGGCAGUGACGGGUAACGGGGAAUUAGGGUUCGAUUCCGGAGAGGGAGCCUGAGAAACGGCUACCACAUCUAAGGAAGGCAGCAGGCGCGCAAAUUACCCAAUCCUGACUCAGGGAGGUAGUGACAAGAAAUAACAACACUGGAAAUUUUAUUUCUAGUGAUUGGAAUGAUGGGAAUUUAAACCCCUUUCAGAGUAACAAUUGGAGGGCAAGUCUGGUGCCAGCAGCCGCGGUAAUUCCAGCUCCAAUAGCGUAUAUUAAAGUUGUUGCAGUUAAAAAGCUCGUAGUUGGAUGUCUGCUGGAAGCAAUCAGUCCGCCCUAUUUGUAGGGUGUGCACUUGAUGAAUUCUGGCAUCUAUGUCCCAAUAAAAGAACGGGCGUCACAUUAGCUGUUGAGCGAAAGCUCAGGAGCGUGUGCGUCCGUUUAUUGGGAUAAUACUGUUACUUUGAGAAAAUUAGAGUGUUUGAAGCAGGSUAAUUGCCUUGAAUACUGCAGCAUGGAAUAACAAUAUAGGAUUUCGGUUCUAUUUUGUUGGUUUCUAGGACUGAAAUAAUGAUUAAUAGGGACAGUUGGGGGCAUUCGUAUUUAACUGUCAGAGGUGAAAUUCUUAGAUUUGUUAAAGACGAACUACUGCGAAAGCAUUUGCCAAAGA
rnacentral:rRNA from 1 species